rnacentral:rRNA from 1 species
UGCAAGUCGACGCGAACGAGUUCUUCGGAACUUUAGUAGAGUGGCGCACGGGUGAGUAACGCGUAAGUAAUCUACCCUCGCAUCUGGGAUAACCCACCGAAAGGUGUGCUAAUACCGGAUACGUCUAAGUUAAUAUCUUUUUUUUAGAGAAAGGUGGCCUCUGAUUCAAGCUACUGUGCGGGGAGGAGCUUGCGUACCAUUAGCUAGUUGGUAGGGUAACGGCCUACCAAGGCGACGAUGGUUAGCGGGUCUGAGAGGAUGAUCCGCCACACUGGAACUGAAACACGGACCAGACUCCUACGGGAGGCAGCAGUGAGGAAUAUUGCGCAAUGGGGGCAACCCUGACGCAGCGACGCCGCGUGGAUGAUGAAAGCCUUCGGGUUGUAAAAUCCUGUCAGAUGGGGAAGAAGUGCUAUAUGGUUAAUAUCUGUAUAGUUUGACGGUACCAUCAAAAGAAGCACCGGCUAACUUCCGUGCCAGCAGCCGCGGUAAUACG